UACGUAGGGUGCAAGCGUUGUCCGGAAUUAUUGGGCGUAAAGCGCGUGUAGGCGGCCACGCAGGUCCGUUGUGAAAACUAGAGGCUCAACCUCUAGACGUCGACGGAAACCGUGUGGCUAGAGUCCGGAAGAGGAGAGUGGAAUUCCUGGUGUAGCGGUGAAAUGCGCAGAUAUCAGGAAGAACACCAAUGACGAAGGCAGCUCUCUGGGACGGUACUGACGCUGAGACGCGAAAGCGUGGGGAGCGAACAGG
rnacentral:rRNA from 1 species